UCUGACCGUGCAAAGGUAGCGUAAUCACUUGUUCUUUAAAUGAGGACUAGUAUGAACGGCACCACGAAGGUUAUACUGUCUCCUUUUUUUGAUCAGUGAAACUAAUCUCCCCGUGAAGAAGCGGGGAUAAAAUUAUAAGACGAGAAGACCCUAUGGAGCUUUAAACAAUAUAGCACUUACCUCAUAAUACACAAUCUUCCGAAUAUAAAUUUAUUAGGUAACAUGACUAUAAGUUUUUGGUUGGGGUGACCACGGAGUACAACACAACCUCCACGUUGAAAGAAUAUUAUUCUAAACUAAGAUUUACCCAUCAAAGCAUCAAUAUCUUGACAUUUAUUGACCCAAUACUUUUGAACAACGAACCAAGUUACCCUAGGGAUAACAGCGCAAUCCACUUUAAGAGCCCCUAUCGACAAGUGGGUUUACGACCUCGAUGUUGGAUCAGGGUUUCCAAGUGGUGCAGCCGCUACUAAAGGUUCGUUUGUUCA
rnacentral:rRNA from 1 species